AAUUGACCAUCUUUUAAUCGAGAUUUUGCCUUCGGGUACAAUUGAGACAGGUGGUGCAUGGUUGUCGUCAGCUCGUGUCGUGAGAUGUUGGGUUAAGUCCCGCAACGAGCGCAACCCUUGUGUUUAGUUGCAAACAGGUCAAGCUGUGCACUCUAGACAGACUGCCGUGGACAACACGGAGGAAGGUGGGGAUGACGUCAAAUCAUCAUGCCCCUUAUGAUCUGGGCUACACACGUGCUACAAUGGCCGGUACAACGGGCAGCGAAGGAGCGAUCCGGAGCGAAUCCUAAAAAGCCGGUCCCAGUUCGGAUUGCAGGCUGAAACUCGCCUACAUGAAGUUGGAGUUGCUAGUAAUCGCGAAUCAGAAUGUCGCGGUGAAUGCGUUCCCGGGUCUU
rnacentral:rRNA from 1 species